UUUGAUUUCUUAACUAGGACGAACGCUGGCGGCGUGCCUAAUACAUGCAAGUCGAGCGGACAGAUGGGAGCUUGCUCCCUGAUGUUAGCGGCGGACGGGUGAGUAACACGUGGGUAACCUGCCUGUAAGACUGGGAUAACUCCGGGAAACCGGGGCUAAUACCGGAUGCUUGUUUGAACCGCAUGGUUCAAACAUAAAAGGUGGCUUCGGCUACCACUUACAGAUGGACCCGCGGCGCAUUAGCUAGUUGGUGAGGUAAUGGCUCACCAAGGCAACGAUGCGUAGCCGACCUGAGAGGGUGAUCGGCCACACUGGGACUGAGACACGGCCCAGACUCCUACGGGAGGCAGCAGUAGGGAAUCUUCCGCAAUGGACGAAAGUCUGACGGAGCAACGCCGCGUGAGUGAUGAAGGUUUUCGGAUCGUAAAGCUCUGUUGUUAGGGAAGAACAAGUACCGUUCGAAUAGGGCGGUACCUUGACGGUACCUAACCAGAAAGCCACGGCUAACUACGUGCCAGCAGCCGCGGUAAUACGUAGGUGGCAAGCGUUGUCCGGAAUUAUUGGGCGUAAAGGGCUCGCAGGCGGUUCCUUAAGUCUGAUGUGAAAGCCCCCGGCUCAACCGGGGAGGGUCAUUGGAAACUGGGGAACUUGAGUGCAGAAGAGGAGAGUGGAAUUCCACGUGUAGCGGUGAAAUGCGUAGAGAUGUGGAGGAACACCAGUGGCGAAGGCGACUCUCUGGUCUGUAACUGACGCUGAGGAGCGAAAGCGUGGGGAGCGAACAGGAUUAGAUACCCUGGUAGUCCACGCCGUAAACGAUGAGUGCUAAGUGUUAGGGGGUUUCCGCCCCUUAGUGCUGCAGCUAACGCAUUAAGCACUCCGCCU
rnacentral:rRNA from 1 species